GUUGUAUGGUUAAGUGACUAAGCGUACACGGUGGAUGCCUUGGCAGUCAGAGGCGAUGAAAGACGUAGUAACUUGCGAUAAGCCCAGAUUAGGUAGUAACAACCAUUUGAGUCUGGGAUUUCUGAAUGGGGAAACCCACGUGCAUAAGCACGUAUCCUUACCUGAAUACAUAGGGUAAGGAGGCGAACCGGGGGAACUGAAACAUCUAAGUACCCCGAGGAAAAGAAAUCAACCGAGAUUCCGAAAGUAGCGGCGAGCGAAAUUGGACUAGCCCUUAAGCUUUACACGCGUUAGACGAACGGUCUGGAAAGUCCGACGAUACAGGGUGAUAGUCCCGUAGUUGACGACGUGUGUUCAGUGAAAUCGAGUAGGGCGGGACACGUGAUAUCCUGUCUGAAUAUGGGGGGACCAUCCUCCAAGGCUAAAUACUACUGACUGACCGAUAGUGAACCAGUACCGUGAGGGAAAGGCGAAAAGAACCCCUGUGAGGGGAGUGAAAUAGAACCUGAAACCGUGUACGUACAAGCAGUAGGAGCAGGCUUUGUCCUGUGACUGCGUACCUUUUGUAUAAUGGGUCAGCGACUUAUAUUCAGUGGCAAGGUUAACCAUCUAGGGGAGCCGUAGGGAAACCGAGUCUUAACUGGGCGUUCAGUCUCUGGAUAUAGACCCGAAACCAGGUGAUCUAGCCAUGGGCAGGUUGAAGGUUGAGUAACAUCAACUGGAGGACCGAACCGACUAAUGUUGAAAAAUUAGCGGAUGACUUGUGGCUAGGGGUGAAAGGCCAAUCAAACCUGGAGAUAGCUGGUUCUCCCCGAAAGCUAUUUAGGUAGCGCCUCGGACGAAUACUACUGGGGGUAGAGCACUGUUAAGG
rnacentral:rRNA from 1 species